rnacentral:rRNA from 1 species
CCCUUAGAUGUUCUGGGCCGCACGCGCGCUACACUGAUGAAUGCAACGAGCUCUACCCUUGACCGAAAGGCCCGGGUAAACUUGUGAAACUUCAUCGUGAUGGGGAUAGAUUAUUGCAAUUAUUAAUCUUCAACGAGGAAUUCCUAGUAAGCGCGAGUCAUCAGCUCGCGUUGAUUACGUCCCUGCCCUUUGUACACACCGCCCAUCGCUCCUACCGAUUGAAUGAUCCGGUGAAAUCUUCGGAUUGCUGACCAAGAUCCAGCAAUGGAGCUUGGUUGCGAGAAGUUGAUUAAACCUUAUUAUUUAGAGGAAGGAGAAGUCGUAACA